GGGGGAGCAAGCGUUGUUCGGAUUUACUGGGCGUAAAGGGCGCGUAGGCGGCAGCGCAAGUCAGUUGUGAAAUCUCCGGGCUUAACUCGGAAAGGUCAACUGAUACUGCGCGGCUAGAGUGCAGAAGGGGCAACUGGAAUUCUCGGUGUAGCGGUGAAAUGCGUAGAUAUCGAGAGGAACACCUGCGGCGAAGGCGGGUUGCUGGGCUGACACUGACGCUGAUGCGCGAAAGCCAGGGGAGCGAACGGGAUUAGAUACCCCGGUAGUCCUGGCCUUAAACGAUGGAUGCUUGGUGUCUGGAGUUUUAUAGUCUCCGGGUGCCGCAGCUAACGCGUUAAGCAUCCCGCCUGGGGAGUACGGUCGCAAGACUG
rnacentral:rRNA from 1 species